UAGGAUUAGAUAAGGACCUCAAAAAUAGACCCGAUCAUUAUUUCGGACCAAAUCCGAGUCAAGGCGAACCCGGCUUCACCAACCCAUGUGCACCCUAAGGGAACUAAAAAAGGUAUAUAUGUUUUAAAUU